AUGCUGGAACUACAGCCAAACCAGAUACUACUGAUGCUGGAACUACAGCCAAACCAGGAAUUACCGAUGCUGGAACUACAGCCAAACCAGGAACUACUGAUGCUGGAACUACAGCCGAACCAUCUUUGCCAAGUACAACUUCUUCUACUAUUGCCACCACCGCUACGCCACCAAUUCAGUGUGAGAACGGAGGUACACCUGAAGGACAGUCUUGCAACUGUCCUCCUGACUUCCACGGGGAGACCUGCAGAGAUUUUAAAACUGACAUAGUGCCAGGUACGCUCAAUAGGACAGCGGUGGUUAAGGAUAUGGUUACUAAUUCCCCGUACAUAGAAAAAUAUAACAACAAAACUUCAACUGAAUACACAGACAAGGUCAAGGAUUUCACAACAGAGAUGGAGGAAUACUACAGGAGUAAAGGGAUACGGAAUUUCACAGUGGAAAACGUAACUCUGAGUAAUGGGUCAGUUAUGACCACACGCUUGGGACGAGGUAUAGAGGAGAAAAGGAUGGAAAACUCCUUGUACAACCCCAAGGCAGAAUCAUAUCGUUUGAACGUCGAACACAAUAUCAUUCUGACGGUUCUGAAUGAACCAGGAGCUGAGCAACAGUACAAGAACUUCGUAGACGACGUUAAUUCAGCUUUGCAAAAUCUGUCAUUGUGUUCAGGUAACAGCAAUACAUAAAGUCACAUCUAAAAACACACCUUCAAAAUACACACAACAAUUCAAAUCAAACUAUCAUUGUUAAGACAUGGACAAAAAUAUUUGGUAAUAU
rnacentral:lncRNA from 13 species